rnacentral:rRNA from 1 species
UGGCGGACGGGUGAGUAAUGUCUGGGAAACUGCCUGAUGAGGGGGAUAACUACUGGAAACGGUAGCUAAUACCGCAUAACGUCGCAAGACCAAAGAGGGGGACCUUCGGGCCUCUUGCCAUCGGAUGUGCCCAGAUGGGAUUAGCUAGUAGGUGGGGUAAAGGCUCACCUAGGCGACGAUCCCUAGCUGGUCCGAGAGGAUGACCAGCCACACUGGAACUGAGACACGGUCCAG